ensembl:lncRNA
AUUUUUAUUUCCUCACGCACAGCACAUGUUUAUAAUUUAUUGCUCAAAUGUUACUGAUCUUAUAGUGAAGAUCGUUAAUUACAGGUGGGUGCAAAGCAGAGGCUGUCCUCACACCGCCAGAGCGUGACUGCAACUGGAGGGGGACCCAGUACUCCUGAACUAACACCAAUUGACACGAAAGUUGCAUCCAUAAUUGGCACCUCAAGCGUGAGUGGCAUCGUGUCCGAAAGGGAAGGAGACACUGACAACACAGAAGAACAAGAGUCAGCGGUCGGUGGGGAGGAGGACGAUGAUGCCGGCGAGGGGCCCUCGGCCGCAGGUCAUCCGGCUGCCCCAACCCCCAGCACCACGCGUCAAUCCGCCGGUCGGGUGCUCACAGACGCAGUUCUGCAGCUACAGAGGGAAAUGCAGUCAACAACUUGACUGAGGAGAUGAG